rnacentral:lncRNA from 1 species
CUGGGCACAGUCAAGUACUUGCGAAGUCAGAGUGUGAUCGAGAUGGGAUUGACAACUCCAAGAGUUGGAGAAGAAUGAGUCAUUGUAUUUCAAUUUAGCAAAAUUUUGGCCAGGAUAAUCCAUCAGAUGGAUUUGAUAUUUUGAAAUACAAUGUGGACAACCUGAUCAAAGUUGACAGUUGAACUCUGAGGUGUCCUAUGA